AGACUAGUAAGAUUAUAAAAAAAUUGGAGGAAGCACCAAACUCCGUGGCUCAUUACAAUUGGGACUCAAAAGAAUUACACUAUAAGGGACGCAUUGUGCUUAUGAUAAAUUCUACUUGCAUCUUCACGAGCAGAUUUUGGACAAAGUUAUUACAUAUGCAGGGUACUAAAUUGAAAAGGAGUACGGCAUAUCACCCACAAAUCAACGGCCAGACAAAAGUUGUAAAUAGGAGCUUGGAGACAGC
rnacentral:lncRNA from 1 species